rnacentral:rRNA from 1 species
AGCGAACGCUGGCGGCAGGCUUAACACAUGCAAGUCGAGCGGGCACUUCGGUGUCAGCGGCAGACGGGUGAGUAACACGUGGGAACGUACCCUUCGGUUCGGAAUAACGCUGGGAAACUAGCGCUAAUACCGGAUACGCCCUUUUGGGGAAAGGUUUACUGCCGAAGGAUCGGCCCGCGUCUGAUUAGCUAGUUGGUGGGGUAAUGGCCUACCAAGGCGACGAUCAGUAGCUGGUCUGAGAGGAUGAUCAGCCACACUGGGACUGAGACACGGCCCAGACUCCUACGGGAGGCAGCAGUGGGGAAUAUUGGACAAUGGGCGCAAGCCUGAUCCAGCCAUGCCGCGUGAGUGAUGAAGGCCUUAGGGUUGUAAAGCCCUUUUGUCCGGGACGAUAAUGACGGUACCGGAAGAAUAAGCCCCGGCUAACUUCGUG